GAGCUGCCGGCUUGCUUCUGGCAGAGCUUCAUAUUUCUCUCUAAAGGCGGUCACACACCGGAUGAAAAGCGCCCUGCUGCAUCUAGGACAUCUCGAGAAUCCUGUUCACCCUGCAGCCUUGUGACUGCUCUCCAGAUGGACUCAUUACAACCAAUCCUCCACAGCUGCAAGGUCAGGCUAGUAGCAGAUCAGAGGAAGGGGCUGAUGGAGAAUUGCCAUAUGACCAAUCUAUCCUGAGAUGACAGUGGCAAGAUGGUGUGUAUGUCGCUGUCAGAGCUGAUGUUGGUGCCAGGCUCUAUUGAUCUGUCCUAACAGUUAUUCAAGCCCUUUAAACUCAGCCCAGGACUACUGCAGCACAGAAUUAAAUGAAAGAAAUCCCUGAGAGACAACGGAAUGGUGAGUGUGGAGCAGGGAGAGGAAAGGAUGGAGUGAACAAGUGAAUGAAAGUCUGUUUGAUAAAGAGUGUUCGGAGCUGAGGGCUAGGAUUUCGACAUGUUGAAGAUCUCAGAGCUUCAUUGAUCGAAUGUCUUCCUCUCAGCCACACACACUGACCAUCAACCCAUCAAAGAUCACACAAUACUCCACACCUAUGGAUCAGGCUUCCAGGAAUCUGAAGAGUUACCGUACAUGCUUACAGAAGCUCUUGAACAAUACAUUGUGACUAAAGACACAUCGCUAUUCCUUUUUUGACAGAAAUGCUGUUUCUCAGACCAAAGCUUCAGUGUAAUGAGCCGA